AUUGAACGCUGGCGGCAGGCCUAACACAUGCCAGUCGAGCGGAUGAAGGGAGCUUGCUCCUGGAUUCAGCGGCGGACGGGUGAGUAAUGCCUAGGAAUCUGCCUGGUAGUGGGGGAUAACGUCCGGAAACGGGCGCUAAUACCGCAUACGUCCUGAGGGAGAAAGUGGGGGAUCUUCGGACCUCACGCUAUCAGAUGAGCCUAGGUCGGAUUAGCUAGUUGGUGGGGUAAAGGCCUACCAAGGCGACGAUCCGUAACAGGUCUGAGAGGAUGAUCAGUCACACUGGAACUGAGACACGGUCCAGACUCCUACGGGAGGCAGCAGUGGGGAAUAUUGGACAAUGGGCGAAAGCCUGAUCCAGCCAUGCCGCGUGUGUGAAGAAGGUCUUCGGAUUGUAAAGCACUUUAAGUUGGGAGGAAGGGCAGUAAGUUAAUACCUUGCUGUUUUGACGUUACCAACAGAAUAAGCACCGGCUAACUUCGUG
rnacentral:rRNA from 1 species